CAGGCUGACCGGGUGAUCGCUCUCCUGCACGUCAGGGGGGAGGAAAGUCCGCCCUCCGUAGGGCGCGGUGCUGGCUAACGGCCAGGCGGGGAAACCCGACGGAAAGCGCAACAGAGAACGGAUUGCUCCGCGCGAGCGGAGUGAGGGUGAAAAGGUGGUGUAAGAGACCACCGGCGCGGACAGCGAUGUUCGCGGCCAGGCAAACCCCACCGGGAGCAAGGCCGAGCAGGCGCAUUGGGGCGGCUCGUCCCGCAAAAAGCGCCGGGUUGGCUGCUUGACCCCGGCUGGCAACGGUCGGGGCAGAUAGAUGAUCACCACCUCGCAAGAGGCACAGAAGGCGGCUUAUAGGUCGGCCUGGGCA
rnacentral:RNase_P_RNA from 1 species